UAAAUUAAAGCCAAAAAGAGGCAUUUUAUUGUUAAUAAAAUAAUUGAAUUUAAAAAUUCUAAUUUAA
rnacentral:tRNA from 1 species